rnacentral:misc_RNA from 1 species
GAUGAAGAACGUAGUGAAAUGCGAUAAGUAAUGUGAAUUGCAGAAUUCAGUGAAUCAUCGAAUCUUUGAACGCAUCUUGCGCUCCUUGGUAUUCUGAGGAGCAUGCCUGUUUGAGUGUCAUUAAAUUCUCAACUACACUGACUUUGAAUUGGUGUGGCUUGGAUUUGGGGGGAAAAUUGUUGUGGGCUUUUUGUAUAGUCUGCUCCCCUGAAAUUGAUUAGCGGUACCUUUGUGGAACUGUCUACAGGUGUGAUAAUUAUCUACAUCUUAGACAUCUGCUGGAAUGCUGCUUUCUAAACCUUACUUGUAUUGACAAUCUUGACCUCAAAUCAGGUAGGACUACCCGCUGAGCUUAAGCAUAUCAAUAAGCGGAGGA